rnacentral:rRNA from 1 species
CCUACGGGUGGCAGCAGUGAGGAAUAUUGGUCAAUGGGCGCGAGCCUGAACCAGCCAAGUCGCGUGAGGGAUGACUGCCCUACGGGUUGUAAACCUCUUUUAUAAGGGAAUAAAGUGCGGCACGUGUGCCUUUUUGUAUGUACUUUAUGAAUAAGAAUCGGCUAACUCCGUGCCAGCAGCCGCGGUAAUACGGAGGAUCCGAGCGUUAUCCGGAUUUAUUGGGUUUAAAGGGAGCGUAGGUGGGUUGUUAAGUCAGUUGUGAAAGUUUGCGGCUCAACCGUAAAAUUGCAAUUGAUACUGGGAGUCUUGAGUACAGUUGAGGUAGGCGGAAUGCGUGGUGUAGCGGUGAAAUGCUUAGAUAUCACGAAGAACCCCGAUUGCGAAGGCAGCUUACUAAUCCGCCACUGACAUUGAUGCUCGAAAGUGUGGGUAUCAAACAGGAUUAGAUACCCUUGUAGUC